rnacentral:tRNA from 1 species
UGCUAAGAAGAGGGGUUUAACCUCUAUUUAAGCGUUU